AACCAUAAAUAAAAUAGCAUGCAACAAUAUCAGACAGUAACUACCAUAAAUAACUACCAUAAAAAGUUGACUCGUACCUAUAAAUUGACCCUUAAUAAAUUAUUGUUGAUUGAAAGAAAAGCACAUCCAGCGCAACUUUUUUCCUUUUACAGAAUGUUGCUGCUUGUGAACCCAAGGGUGUCCUAGUGGUUAACGGAGCGCAGAGAGAACUAUGAUGCCAUUGGGAUUACGUUAGAUGCUUACUAGGUGAUUUCUUCCAAUCAGCCUAAGCCUUAUUGGCCGAACUGCAUGGUACUUGUGAUGGAAAGAGAUAGCGGGUACCCGAGGGAAUAGUUGAGGUGUGCUCAAGCUGGCUCCAGCACCACCGUCGUACAAGAGAUGUUGCCUCUUACAAACACUGGGAGUACACUGAUUCUCUAAUCAUUCAUUCAUAUUAAAGACAACUACCAAAUGAUAUUCAGCUUACAAGACUCAGAGUUUAUGAUGCUUGUUCAUUUGUUGUCUAAUGAGCAAUUGCUCUUGUACUGGAGACUGUUAAGUCCCUUAAACCUCCCCAUCCCACCCCCCACCCCCACAAUUGCUAUUAGGAAUUUAAAAUUUUAUAUUAGGACAAGCAUUAUUGCAUGAAUAAAGCAACACCGUAAAAAGAGUAAGCUAAAAAAAAAUACUAGCAUAUUUUUCUUUACACAACAUAGACAUACCUACUCAUGCAGAGUAGGCUGACAAUGCUGGCUAAUAAAUCCCAGCAUGUCUAUCCAA
rnacentral:lncRNA from 1 species